CCUACGGGAGGCAGCAGUGGGGAAUAUUGCACAAUGGGGGAAACCCUGAUGCAGCGACGCCGCGUGAGUGAAGAAGUAUUUCGGUAUGUAAAGCUCUGUCAGCAGGGAAGAAAAUGACGGUACCUGACCAAGAAGCCCCGGCUAACUACGUGCCAGCAGCCGCGGUAAUACGUAGGGGGCAAGCGUUAUCCGGAUUGACGGGGUGUAAAGGGAGCGGAGACGGUAGGGCAAGUCUGGAGUGAAAGGCGGGGGCUAAACCCCCGGACUGCUCUGGAAACUGCCAGGCUGGAGUGCAGGAGAGGUAAGUGGAAUUCCUAGUGUAGCGGUGAAAUGCGUAGAUAUUAGGGGAACACCAGUGGCGAAGGCGGCUUACUGGACUGUAACUGACGUUGAGGCUCGAAAGCGUGGGGAGCAAACAGGAUUAGAUACCCUUGUAGUC
rnacentral:rRNA from 1 species